rnacentral:rRNA from 1 species
GACGAACCGUGCGAACGUUGUUCGGAUUCACUGGGCUUAAAGGGCGCGUAGGCGGCUUGCCAAGUCAGGGGUGAAAUCUUUCGGCUCAACCGGAAAAGUGCUUCUGAUACUGGCGGGCUGGAGGGGGGUAGGGGCAGAUGGAACUUCCGGUGGAGCGGUGAAAUGCGUAGAGAUGUGGAGGAAUACCGAUGGCGAAGGCAGCCCCCUGGGCCAAUACUGACGCUCAUGCACGAAAGCGUGGGGAGCAAACAGG